rnacentral:rRNA from 1 species
AGUGAACGCUGGCGGCGUGCCUAAUACAUGCAAGUCGAACGAUGAAGUCCUAGCUUGCUAGGAUGGAUUAGUGGCGCACGGGUGAGUAAUAUAUAGUUAAUCUGCCCUACACAGAGGAACAACAGUUGGAAACGACUGCUAAUACCUCAUACUCCUAUUUGACAUAAGUUAAAUAGGGAAAGUCUUUUCGGUGUAGGAUGAGACUAUAUCGUAUCAGCUAGUUGGUAAGGUAAUGGCUUACCAAGGCUAUGACGCGUAACUGGUCUGAGAGGAUGAUCAGUCACAUUGGAACUGAGACACGGUCCAAACGCCUACGGGAGGCAGCAGUAAGGAAGAUUGCGCAAUGGGGGAAACCCUGACGCAGCAACGCCGCGUGGAGGAUGACACUUUUCGGAGCGUAAACUCCUUUUAUCAGGAAAGAAUAAUGACGGUACCUGAUGAAUAAGCACCGGCUAACUCCGUG